UACGUAGGGUGCAAGCGUUAAUCGGAAUUACUGGGCGUAAAGCGUGCGCAGGCGGUGAUGUAAGACAGAUGUGAAAUCCCUGGGCUCAACCUGGGAACUGCAUUUGUGACUGCAUCGCUGGAGUGCGGCAGAGGGGGAUGGAAUUCCGCGUGUAGCAGUGAAAUGCGUAGAUAUGCGGAGGAACACCGAUGGCGAAGGCAAUCCCCUGGGCCUGCACUGACGCUCAUGCACGAAAGCGUGGGAGCAAACAGG
rnacentral:rRNA from 1 species